rnacentral:lncRNA from 1 species
UCUAGAGAUGUUGGGUUUUAUUGUACUUUAAAGCAAAUACAUUCAUUUCAUAAAUGACAUACAGAUUCUGAUGGCGUGUAGCGAUCAACGGUUUGGUCUUAGGACUUUAUGUUUGGGUCGGGUGAUAUGAUGGUAUGGGGAUUGGUAUAUCUUAGCAACCUUGGAAGAUUGCUCUACUGAAGUGGGAUAUUUACAGGAGAAUGGACUGGAGUAUUUGGGGGUAGCUAGGGACUUGGGAGUACUGUAGACCGCCUUGGAACAUUCACCUAUAUGCGUUUAGUAAAUUACGCAUAAUUGAAGUCGUAAUGCUUGGGAGGAAAGCUAGGGGAAGCAGAAGGAAGAAGUCAUUAAAGAGAGAGAUAGAGAGAAAGAAAAAGUAGGAAGAAUAAAGGAAAAGGGGAAAAAAUUAAAAGUUGAAACAAACAAACAAACAAACAUAAAUGCAGUCUUAAGAGUUUCUUCCAGUAAGUGGAGCUGUGCCCUCUGGGCCAAACUUCUGCCCUCAAGAUGCAAGAAACAAUCCCUGUGAGACAGCUCCUCCUCCCCAGCUGGGUGGCUCACCAAUCCUGGUCGCCCAGGGCCGUUCUUGGUCACCAGCAGUCCCCCCCACCCCCUCCACCCAUGCUUCUCCAGCCCGCCAGGCCCCACUCACUGGUGCCAUUUUCCACAGAUCUAGCUACACUCCAGGCCUACAGCCCCCUGGGUACCCUGUUCUCUUGAAAGACUGGGCACUCUCUCUAUUUGCUAUUCACCCAGACCCCAAGGUUGUGGAGCACUGGAGCUGGGGGCCAUUGGCUUAUUUUGCCUAAUUCCCUCAGGUAGCCACGCCCCCAGGAGCUUGUGAAAAAGGCCUCGGCUGUCAGCGCUGUGGUCGCCAAUUUCACUGUGGAGGGAUCCAUCCCCCGAACUCUGAUGACAUCAGUUCUCUGCCAGGGUGGACCCUGGUUUCCUUGCCAGGGUGUCCGAUGGGAAGAGUGGGUCUGGUCUGUAUCUCCUAAAUCCUACCUCAGCUCUCGGUCUGCUGGACCAUGGAGGCUCUGUUGGCACCACUCAAAAGAUCCUCCAAAGCUCCAAAGUUUUGUUUCUCUACUCUGCUCAAGGGUCUCUGUAGCACUGAGUCGCAGUGGGUGGGUGGCGGGUCACAAAUCAACCAGCCAGUAACUCCACGCUCCAGGUGGCCUGGAUUCACCCUUACCUGAGCACACUGUGGCCUCUGAGACACUCAAACUGCUCACUUAGGUACCACCUCAGCCCAACAUUGCUAGGCGUUCUUGAGCAGACAGCAUCCAGACAUUCUGAAGUCUCUCUUUGCCAGCAUAGCUGAGGAGGUCAUGGGAUUGCUCCUUCUGCACCCACCGCCAUGUUCCAACUCCGGACAUUUAUUUUAAUUAGA